rnacentral:rRNA from 1 species
UACGUAGGGUGCAAGCGUUAAUCGGAAUUACUGGGCGUAAAGCGUGCGUAGGUGGUGAGUUAAGUCUGUCGUGAAAGCCCCGGGCUCAACCUGGGAAUGGCGAUGGAUACUGGCUCGCUAGAGUGCGGUAGAGGAGAGUGGAAUUCCCGGUGUAGCAGUGAAAUGCGUAGAGAUCGGGAGGAACAUCAGUUGCGAAGGCGGCUCUCUGGACCAGCACUGACACUGAGGCACGAAAAGCGUGGGGAGCAAACAGGG